AGAUAUUGUGUGCUACUGCUCUAUUAAUCUUAUUCGUCAAUGUUUUUUUUCCCGGAAAAUAUUUAGGUUCGCCUUUUAGGGUGUGUAAUUAUAAUAUUUAGGUUCGCCUUAGGGUGUGCCGUUGACGGCUCAGUUUUCUCGGACUUCCGUUGAAAGGCUUCCAUCGCUAGGUUUUUUGUUGAUUCGGUCUUUGCCGUUUGGUAGCUCGUUUCUUGUUCCUUAAGGUGUCUUUUAAGUUAAUAUUUAGAAUCGGUUUAUCACUUCAUUGAUUCCAAAAGAGUAAUUUCUUUUGUUGAUGUCGAUGGACUGAUUGUUCUUUGCUUCCAUGUUUUUUAUCCUUUUUUUGCCAUGAGACCAAAAUUGUAGGAUUUACUUAAUUGUAUCUCCUAAACCUUUUUCAUUUUUCAAUGAAAUAUUUACAUUCUUAGCA
rnacentral:sRNA from 1 species